rnacentral:lncRNA from 1 species
CCCAUGACCCCAUAGAGACCCCAUAGAGCCCCAUAGAGCCCCAUACAGCCCCAUGACCCCAUAGAGACCCCAUAGAGCCCCAUAGAGCCCCAUAGAGCCCCACUGACCCUAUAGACCCCAUAGAGACCCCAUAGACCCCCCAGGCUCUUAUAGGGCGCCCCCAUUUCCUUCUCCCCCUCCCCCCCCCUCCCCGUUCCCCCUCCACUUUUGGUUGUAGGGCGGCGUUUCCUGUCCCGUUCCCCACUUCCUGCCCCAUAACCGCCUCCGCCCCAACGGCCCUAAAGGUAACGGGGUGCCGGUUAUGGGGUGGGAGGGGAUGGGGGUGUAAAUUAUGGGGUCUAUGGGGCAGAAAAAGGGGUUAUGGGGAAACCCGGAUGGGAUACGGGGGGAUUUGAAAGGGGUUUUGGGAUUUUUUUGGUACGUAUGGGGCGCUAUGGGGUUUAUAGGGCGCGCUAUGGGGAGAUGUGGGGCAGCCAUGGGGGGAUUAUGGGGUCUGGGGGGCAGAAAUGGGAUCUAUGGGGCAGGAAGGGGAGUUAUGGGCUUUUGGAGUCUAUGGGGCAGAAAUGGGGUCUAUGGGGCAGCUAUGGGGCACCAGUAGAUCUAUGGGGCAGCAAUGGAUCUAUGGGGCAGCUGUGGGGUCUAUGGGGCACCAAUGGAUCUAUGGGGCAGCUAUGGGGCAGCUAUGGGGCACUGUCAGAUCUAUGGGGCAGAAAUGGGGUCUAUGGGGCACCAAUGGAUCUAUGGGGCAGUUAUGGGGCAGCUAUGGGGCAGCUAUGGGGUGCUGUUGGGUUCUAUGGGGCAGCUAUAGGGCACAGUCAGAUCUAUGGGGCAGCUAUGGGGCACCAGUAGAUCUAUGGGGCAGCAAUGGAUCUAUGGGGCAGCUAUGGGGCGCUGUAAGGUUCUAUGGGGCAGCUAUGGGGCAGAGUCAGAUCUAUGGGGCAGCUGUGGGGUCUAUGGGGCAGUUAUGGGGUCUAUGGGGCAGCUAUGGGGCGCUGUGAGCUUCUAUGGGGCAGCUAUGGGGCGCAAUCAGAUCUAUGGGGCAGUUAUGGGGUCUAUGGGGCAGCUAUGGGGCGCUGUAAGGUUCUAUGGGGCAGCUAUGGGGCACAGUCAGAUGUAUGGAGCAGCUAUGGGGUCUAUGGGGCAGCUAUGGGGCACCAGUAGAUCUAUGGGGCAGCUAUGGAUCUAUGGGGCAGCUGUGAGGUCUAUGGGGCAGCUGUGGUGUCUAUGGGGCACCAAUGGAUCUAUGGGGCAGCUAUGGGGCAGAAUCAGAUCUAUGGGGCAGCUAUGGGGCAGAGUCAGAUCUAUGGGGCAGUUAUGGGGUCUAUGGGGCACCAAUGGAUCUAUGGGGCAGCUAUGGGGCAGAGUCAGAUCUAUGGGGCAGCUAUGGGGCACAGUCAGAUCUAUGGGGCAGCUAUGGGGUCUAUGGGGCACCAAUGGAUCUAUGGGGCAGCUAUGGGGCAGCUAUGGGGCAGCUAUGGGGUCUAUGGGGCAGCUAUGGGGCGCUGUGUGCUUCUAUGGGGCGCCGUCUCAUUUAUGGGGCCGCACCCUACAGUACCGCCUUCUCUGUGCCCCACAGCUGCCCCAUAAGUUGUGGGGCAGCCCCAUGGCUCUCCCUCCAGCCGCCAUCUUUGUCCUCCUGGCCGUCGCCCUCCAACCAUCCCUGCUGGCCACCAUGGGCCACCCCACGGCCCCGGUGACUACCAAAGACCCCCAAGUGGCCACCGAAGACCCCCAAGUGACCACCAGAGUCCCCAACCACGGCGACCCCCAAGUGGGCCACCAACAGCUCAACCCUGGCCACCAAACAACCAUAUUGGCCACCAGUGGCCACCCACCAACCCCAGUGACCACCAGAAGCCACCAAGGAACCACCGUUGGCCACCAAUCGACCGCUUUCGGCCACCAAAGAGCCUCCAUUGGCCACCAACCGACCGCCGUUGGCCACCAAAUGUCCCAAGUGGUCACCGUUGGCCACCAACUGAUCAGCACUGGCUACCAACCAACUGUUGUUGGCCACCAACUGAUCAGCACUGGCUACCAACCAACCAUCGUUGACCACCAACCAACCCAAGUGACCACAGUUGGCCAUCAAAGAGCCUCCGUUGGCUACCAACCAACCAUCGUUGGCCGCCAACCGACCCGAGAGACCACCGUUGGCCACCAAAGAGCCUCUGUUGGCCACCGACUGAGCAGCGUUGGCUACCAGCCGACCGCCGUUGGCCACCAACCAACCACCGUUGACCACCACCAACAACAACCGACCACCGUUGGCCACCGACCACCAACUUUUGACUACCAACCAACCACCGUUGACCACCACCACCAACAACAACCGACCACCGUUGGCCACCAACCGACCACUAUUGACCACCAACCAACCACCGUUGACCACCAACCGACCACCGUUGGCCACCACCAACAACAACCGACCACCGUUGGCCACCAACCGACCACCGUUGGCCACCACCACCCCCCAACCAUCGGCCACCACCUCCCCCCAUCUCCCACCACCCCGUUCCCAGCCCCCGCUUCCCAUCCGGCCCCCUCAUGGCUUAUAGCCACGCUAGCCACGGCGGCCAUCUUGGUAGUCACGGUGAUUUUGGUGGCUACUUGGUGCCGUCGGAGGCGCCGUUCCGGUUCGACCAAUUUGGGGCCUUGGAUCGGACCGGCGCCGGUGGGGGAGGAGGAUGUUGAGGCUUUGGCAACUGUGACGAAGCCUUUGGUGGCCACGGUGGCCACCGGUCAGGAGGUGGCUACUAAAAUGAGCACCUUUGUAGCCACCGGGGAGGGGGAGGAGGGGGGGGCGGAGAUGGGUGACCCCAAUGGGACCCCAGUGGGUGACCCCGAUGGGUGACCUGAAGUGACCCCGAUGUUGACCCCAAUGUGACCUGAAGUGACCCCAA